rnacentral:rRNA from 1 species
CUACGGGAUGCAGCAGUGGGNAAUAUUGCACAAUGGGCGCAAGCCUGAUCCACCCAUGCCGCGUGAGUGNUGUAGGCCCUAGGGUUGUAAAGCUCUUUCNCCGGUGAAGAUAAUGACGGUANCCGGAGAAGAAGCCCCGGCUANCUUCGUGCCAGCAGCCGCGGUAAUACGAAGGGGGCUAGCGUUGUUCGGAUUUACUGGGCGUAAAGCGCACGUAGGCGGNCUUUUAAGUCAGGGGUGAAAUCCCGGGGCUCAACCCCGGAACUGCCUUUGAUACUGGAAGUCUUGAGUAUGGUAGAGGUGAGUGGAAUUCCGAGUGUAGAGGUGAAAUUCGUAGAUAUUCGGAGGAACACCAGUGGCGAAGGCGGCUCACUGGACCAUUACUGACGCUGAGGUGCGAAAGCGUGGGGAGCAAACAGGAUUAGUUANCCUGAUAGUNNACGCC